AUACGUAGGGUGCGAGCGUUGUCCGGAAUUACUGGGCGUAAAGAGCUCGUAGGUGGUUUGUCGCGUCGUCUGUGAAAUUCCGGGGCUUAACUCCGGGCGUGCAGGCGAUACGGGCAUAACUUGAGUACUGUAGGGGAGACUGGAAUUCCUGGUGUAGCGGUGAAAUGCGCAGAUAUCAGGAGGAACACCGGUGGCGAAGGCGGAUCUCAGGGCAGUAACUGACGCUGAGGAGCGAAAGCAUGGGUAGCGAACAGGAUUAGAUCCCCUGGAAGUCCAUGCCGUAACCGGGGGGCGCUAGGUGUAGGGGUCUUCCACGACUUCUGUGCCGUAGCUAACGCAUUAAGCGUCCCGCCUGGGGAGUACGGCCGCAAGGCUAAAACUCAAAGGAAUUGACGGGG
rnacentral:rRNA from 1 species